UCUUUCGAAAUUAGAGAUAGGGAGUUGUGAUGAGUUGGCAUCCUUGGAACUGCAUUCAUCUCCUCUUCUUUCUAGUUUAGACAUUCUUGCAAGUGUCUUUGUUAACUUGUCUUAAGAAACUACUACUGUCUAAAGUGAGAGAAGAGGUAUUGCGGCAGUUAAUGCUUGUUACUGAUUCUUCAUUGGAGUCUUUGUCCAUAUGGAAGAUAUAUGAUUUGAUAUUUCUUCCAGAGGAGCUGCAUUGACAUGUUUCAACUCUUCAACGUCUCUCAAUUUACAACUGUUGUGGUUUGACAACAUUACCACGCUGGAUUGGCAGCCUCACCUCACUUAGUCACUAUAUACACAAUUGUGAGCACCUUGCAGAAAUACGUUGAAGGGAACUGGCCCAAGAUUGCUUAUAUCCCAUGAAUUAACAUGUACCUGCAUUAUUGAAGAGUGAACUUAUACAGAAUGUCGUUUUAGAUUUCAGAUUCCUUAAGAAGCUUAUGAUUGGCUUAAUGCCUAAAGGGAUGCUAAAAGGGGACAGGUCUUGGGUUGCCCUAAAGAUUUCACAUGGCCCAUAAAUUCAUAUCUACUAGAUGACUAGUGCAGAAAGGACUUUUGCUCUGUUUUCAAUUCCUGUCUGCUAGUGGACAUAUAUAUUUCAGACAGCUUCUUUUGUCGGAUAAUGAGGAUGAGGUUCACAUGCAAAUUGCAAGGACUCAAAAGCUUGAGUUGGUGUCUCCAUCAUUAGGGCCUCAAAAUGUUAUCAUUCUGGAAAUUCUUAAAAUACUGUUCUUGUUUAGUAACUUCAUCAGAUUGGAUAAACAUCCAAAGAUCUCUUAAUGAGCUACAAAAUGCUGUUUGCCCUGAAUUUGAAUCACUGUGCUCCUCAGUUCUUCAAUGUUUCCAGAAUUGAUACUGACCGAUUUCACCAUGUUUAAGAAACUCGUGGUUAUUCAUUGGCCCAAAGGUUUCUUAUAUGCCAUUGCAAAUAAGGAUGAUGGUGAGGAUGGGUUGAAUAUUGCCCAUGCCUUGGAAAAAAAGCUAUUGAGGGUUGGUGCAAAGUUAAAACUCGUCUUACUUGCAUCAGACUCUCUUUUCACUGCUCUCAAUUGAUAACAUUACCAGACUAGAUAGGCAGGCUUACAGCACCUAUGGAGCUCUGAAUUUAUUGUUUCCCUCAAUUACAUCACUGCGAGAAGAGAUGCAUUCCCUUAGCACCCUACAGAGACUAAUACAGAAAGCCACUUCAGAUUGCACCUUACUUAAGAAUCUUGUGAAAAAGUCCUUGGCCCAACGUGAAAUCACUCCCUACAGUAGCCUGUUCGAGCUUCAAAGCACUGCAAGAAGGUAACAAGUUUUGAAUUGGCUUAAAUAUUUCUCAUUGCACUGAAAUUCAUAUUUAUAGAUGUCUAAUGUAGAAAGAAUUCCUGCUAUCUUCUUCAAUCCUAGAUGCUUUGUACCAUAUGUUUUAGGUAAUCUCCCUACUAUGGAUGGCUAUAUUAUUUUUGUAAUUUAAUUAUCAAUCUGUUAAGAGUGUUGUGC